rnacentral:rRNA from 1 species
UACGAAGGGGGCUAGCGUUGCUCGGAAUCACUGGGCGUAAAGCGCACGUAGGCGGAUCUUUAAGUCAGGGGUGAAAUCCUGGAGCUCAACUCCAGAACUGCCUUUGAUACUGAGGAUCUUGAGUCCGGGAGAGGUGAGUGGAACUCCGAGUGUAGAGGUGAAAUUCGUAGAUAUUCGGAAGAACACCAGUAGCGAAGGCGGCUCACUGGCCCGGUACUGACGCUGAGGUGCGAAAGCGUGGGGAGCAAACAGG